AGCAGUGAUGUUGUCAUUGCUUACGUCAUCUGCACCCUUUGUAUAUUGUUGACUGACACCACAAGUGUCAAUAACUUAGAGCAAGUCCAUUGGGGAUCCUUCAAAAGGGGUUCCUAACAAAACUGAAAAAAAAAAAAAUUAAAAAAUCCAAAAUAAAGAAGAACCGUUGCUUAAAUUAGGCUUUUUAGAAAUGGUAAGAAGCCCUAACGUGGCGCCUUGUAAUUGGACAACCCUCUCCCGUCAGUUGCUCUCUCUCUCUCCUUCGCCACUUGACUUCUCCGUCUUCGCAUGCAAAGCUCGUUUUCUCUCUAGAAUCUCGUCUCCAGUCUCGUUUCUCUCUCGAAUCUCGUCUCCAAUCUCGUUUACUCUCUCGAAUCUCGUCUCCAAUCUCGUUUCUCUCUCGAAUCUCGUCUCGGACCUCAUCUCGAUCUCCUUAUCGGCUAGAAAUCAUUCUUUUGAUUUGAUCUUUAUGUUAUUGUUGUCUCGAUUUUGGUCUAUCUCCCAUUCUCUGUUCGUGAUCCUCUGUUUUCGUCUUCUUUCUCCUGAGGUUUGUGAUAAAGAUCACAAGAGAGAAGCUUCAAGAGAAGAAGACGAAGAAGAAGCGAGAUAAGUGCGAACAUCCCUUUCUCCUGCUGUCUCGAUUUUGGUUUAUGAUGUCGAUGAAAACUGAUGUAGAUUACUAGAGUUUUGUUUGACUGUUGAAAAGAUUGAAUCUUUUGCAUAGAAACAGAGUCGGUUGGUUUGAUAUAAGAAGUGUUGAUGAUGAAUUGGUUAAGGGAAUGAUUAGCAAUGGUGGGAAAGAAUGUCUGUGGAAAUUGAAAUGCUUAAGUUCAUAGUCAUCAGACUUGGAAAGUGAUCUCAGAACCGUAUGGGACGUUCUUGUUCUGUCUAGCUAGAAUUUUCCAAUAUGGAGUCCAAGAUUUGAAAAAAUCAUAACGGCUGCAGCUGCAGAGCAUUUGACUCAUGUGACAUUGGAGCUUGGUGGAAAAUGUCCCACCAUAGUUGAUCACCAAUCUGUUUCAAAGGACAUGAAGUCGGUUGUGAAGAGAAUCUUUGGAGGGAGUGUGGUUCUUGCAGUGGACAAGCUUGCAUCUCUGUAGAUUACGUUUUUGUAGAACAGAGUUUUGCGUCUUCUCUGAUUGAAACUUUGAAGCCGAUGAUAAGGUCUUUCUUUGGGGAAAAUCCUAAAGAAUCUGGAUGUCUCUCUAGGAUUGUCACCAAGAAACACUUUAGAUUGGCUCAUCUUCUUAAUGAUCCUGGUGUUCAAGCUUCAAUCGUUUAUGGUGGUUCCACCAUUUUUCUGUGAGUGUAAAAGAACUUGUCUUUCCUUUUGGCAAACACCAUUUAUAUGUUUUAUGUAAUUUUUAUGUUUUAAUAUGUUUUAUAUAAUUUUUAUUAAAAAUUUUA